UUCCCCACAGCUAGGACAGUGGAUCAGAUGAUGGAGACAAUGGAUAGAAUAAUGGAGGAUCCUUUUGCUUAUAAUGGUGCAUCGCUGCCUUCACGUAGUGUCGAUGAUGGUGUAGGGAACUACCGGAGAGGGAGGACACCCUGGGAGAUCAUAGAGGCCAGAGACCAGUACAAACUACGAUUUGACAUGCCUGGGAUGACAAAGAAUGAUGUUAAAAUCUGGGUGGAGGAGAAGAUGCUGGUGUUCAAUGCUGAAAAGCAGCCAGGGGAAGUGGAAGAGAAGGAGGAGG
rnacentral:misc_RNA from 1 species